rnacentral:rRNA from 1 species
CCUACGGGUGGCAGCAGUGGGGAAUAUUGGUCAAUGGGCGAGAGCCUGAACCAGCCAAGUCGCGUGAAGGAAGAAGGCUCUAUGGUUUGUAAAUUUCUUUUAUAUGGGAAUAAAGUGAGGAACGCGUUCCUAUUUGUCUGUACCAUAUGAAUAAGCAUCGGCUAACGCAGUGCGAGGAGCCGCGGUAAUACGGAGGAUGCGGGCGUUAUCCGGAUUUAUUGGGUGUAAAGGGUGUGUAGGCGGGCAAUUAAGUCAGAGGUGAAAGUUUGUGGCUCAACCAUAAACUUGCCGUUGAAACUGGUUGACUUGAGUAUAUGUGAGGUAGGCGGAAUGCGUGGUGUAGCGGUGAAAUGCAUAGAUAUCACGCAGAACUCCGAUUGCGAAGGCAGCUUACUAAACUAUAACUGACACUGAGGCACGAAAGCGUGGGGAUCAAACAGGAUUAGAUACCCUUGUAGUC